rnacentral:rRNA from 1 species
CACGUAGGGUGCGAGCGUUGUCCGGAUUUAUUGGGCGUAAAGAGCGUGUAGGCGGCCAGGUAGGUCUGCUGUGAAAACUCGAGGCUUAACCUCGAGAUGUCGGCGGAAACCAUCUGGCUAGAGUCCGGAAGAGGAGAGUGGAAUUCCUGGUGUAGCGGUGAAAUGCGCAGAUAUCAGGAAGAACACCCGUGGCGAAGGCGCUCUCUGGGACGGUACUGGACGCGAGACGCGAAAGCGUGGGGAG